GUGUUUUCUGAUAAUAUUUCAGUUUUUAGCGCCAAAGAUAUCCAUGAAGAUGGUGUUAAUGGAGGUUUGCGUAGAUUCUGUUGAAUCUGCCAUGAAUGCAGAAAAGGGUGGUGCCCAAAGACUGGAGUUGUGUGGUAAUUUGAUGGAAGGUGGUACCACUCCCACCCCAGGAAUGCUUGCAGUUAUUAAACAAAAUGUUUCAAUACCAGUGUUUGUCAUGAUAAGACCCAGGGGAGGAGACUAUCUUUACUCACAGCAAGAGUUCAAUGUGAUGAAAGAGGAUUUAAAAUGCUUGAAAAAACAUGGAGCUGAUGGAAUUGUCUUUGGAAUCCUCAAUGAAAAAGGUCAAAUUGAUGUUUCAAGAAAUAAAGAAUUACUAGAACUAUCAAGACCUCUUCCUGUUACUUUCCAUAGAGCUUUUGACAUGGUGAAGGAUCCAAAGGAAAGCCUUGAAGAUCUGAUACACAUUGGAUUUGAAAGGGUUUUAACAAGUGGAUUAGAUUCGACAGUUUUAGAUGGGCUGCCAGUCAUUAAAGAACUAAAUACGCAGGCAAAUAAAAGAAUAACGAUUGUACCAGGAGGUGGAAUAACAGAACGUAACUUAGAGCGUAUCCUACAGGGAACUGGUGUAGAGGAGUUUCAUUGUUCUGCACGUGAAUCGUCUACAUCACUCAUGGAGUACAGAAAUAGUCACGUGUUUAUGGGUGGAGCUCUUCGACCAUCUGAAUUCCAAAUCAAAACUACGAGUUGCGAUAGAGUGAAGGCAAUCAUUAAAAUAGCAAAAGAUAGCUUAUGAUUAUAACAGGGCCAACGCUGAAUCAUAUCGAAGCACGACACUUUGAAGAUUUAUACCAGAAGGGUCGCCCACAAACAUAAACACAAGCCACUGAUUGGAUUAGAAAACCAAGCAAGGCUGGAGUCUACCAAACUGUGAGCUGGCUGGCUGUUGCUCGUUUUGAUGAGCAACAGACCCAUUUGCACAGAGAUAUAGGUUGUCUUACUUGUACAUGCGUAGAUUCAAGGGUGGCGUGGCGGGAGUAGAGCCUGC
rnacentral:misc_RNA from 1 species